rnacentral:rRNA from 1 species
UACGUAGGGGGCAAGGCGUUUGUCCGGAUUUAUUGGGCGUAAAGAGCGUGUAGGCGCCAGACAGGUCCGUUGUGAAAACUCGAGGCUCAACCUCGAGACGUCGAUGGAAACCGUCUGGCUAGAGUCCGGAAGAGGAGAGUGGAAUUCCUGGUGUAGCGGUGAAAUGCGCAGAUAUCAGGAAGAACACCAAUGGCGAAAGCAGCUUUCUGGGACGGUACUGACGCUGAGACGCGAAAGCGUGGGGAGCGAACAGG